CAGCCCUCAGACUCCUCACUUGUUGCCUAGCAACAUCAAGCAAUAGUUUAUAUAGUCAUUUUUACUUUUCUGUUUUUCUAUGGCUUAAACACUCAAUAUAUAAUUUGUUAAUUUGAGAGAUUUAGCCAUGAUAGUGGAGGAUUGUUUGGGGCCUUUUCCCCCAUUUUCCAGUCUUUAUGCUAAGCUAAGCUAAUCGACUGCUGGCAGUAUUAAACUGACAGAUAUGAGAGUGGCAGCACGCAAAUCACAAGAAGGCAGAGCAAGUGCAUUUUCCAAAAAUGUUGAACUACUUCUUUCGGAAAUUGAAAAUGUUAAGCCACUAGAGUGUUAAAUGUGUUAAGAGACAACAUUUACUGCUGCCUGUUCCUGGAAAAAAAAAACAACAACACCUACACUUUCCUCAUUGAAAAUGUGGGCUUGUUUUGGUAUACUAAUGAUGAAACCCAGGAAAAGAGAACAUGGAAAACAACAGCAGGCUUUCCCCUGGACAACACUGCCAACAUGCCUUGAAUAGUAACUUCGCCAGCAUCAUGUGAGGUUCACUGAGUGCAUGGCAGCGUGAAAACACGGUGCACCCUGGAGCUAAACAGAACAAAGCUGCUACAUAGAAAGCAAAGCAAUUCCUAAUAACAGUGACUUUUAGCUUUUAAAUGUCACAGCACAUGUACUUGGAGGCAGAAUUUAUUCAGACUCCUCCAUCUAAAAUAAGUUUCCUGACCCGCGCCGAUGGAGGAGUGCUUAAGAACAUCUGAGGACAUUUCUCCAAGGCUGUGAUAAUAAGGGCUGCCCGGGGGCUUUUUGUUCUCCAACCAGGACGAGGGGGUGUUGAUGACAGCUCCGGAGGUGAGAGGAGCAAAGCUGGGGCUUCAUCUCCAGCCUCUGGUGCUAACGCGGUUAGCAUGGAUUCACAGUUCGGCAUCACAGCUUUAACACACCUCUGGUGCUGCUUAGAUAGUGUUGUUAAUUAGUUUAAACCUUAACCACGAGUCGGCAGAAAUAAUAUGCAGCUACUUUCCUUGUCUUUUCUUUGCUUGUUUUAGAGAGAACGUUAUUGUAAUUUUUCAGGGCUGCAGCUAAUUUAAUGUUUUCAUUAUUAAAGGGUAACUCUGCCAAUUUUACACGUUAAAUUGUGUUUACUAGUUUUGGGGAGUACUAAUACAUACAGUAUAUGCAAUAGAUAGAGGAUUGCAGAGUCUAAUCCCGAAGUCAUUAAAUACU